rnacentral:rRNA from 1 species
GGACGAACGCUGGCGGCGUGCCUAAUACAUGCAAGUCGAACGAGCUCUCCCAAAUUGAUUUUAUGCUUGCGUAAAUGAUUUUUGGAUUCGGAGCGAGUGGCGAACUGGUGAGUAACACGUGGGUAACCUGCCCUGAAGCGGGGGAUAACAUUUGGAAACAAGUGCUAAUACCGCAUAAUUAGUUGGAACCGCAUGGUUCCAACUUGAAAGAUGGCUCUGCUAUCACUUUGGGAUGGACCCGCGCCGUAUUAGUUAGUUGGUGAGAUAAAAGCCCACCAAGACGAUGAUACGUAGCCGACCUGAGAGGGUAAUCGGCCACAUUGGGACUGAGACACGGCCCAGACUCCUACGGGAGGCAGCAGUAGGGAAUCUUCCACAAUGGACGAAAGUCUGAUGGAGCAACGCCGCGUGAGUGAUGAAGGUUUUCGGAUCGUAAAACUCUGUUGUUAAAGAAGAACAAGUGUUAGAGUAACUGUUAACACUUUGACGGUAUUUAACCAGAAAGCCACGGCUAACUACGUGCCAGCAGCCGCGGUAAUACGUAGGUGGCAAGCGUUGUCCGGAUUUAUUGGGCGUAAAGCGAGCGCAGGCGGUUUUGUAAGUCUGCUGUGAAAGCCCUCAGCUCAACUGAGGAAGUGCAGUGGAAACUACAAAACUUGAGUACAGAAGAGGAAAGUGGAACUCCAUGUGUAGCGGUGAAAUGCGUAGAUAUAUGGGAAGAACACCAGUGGCGAAGGCGGCUUUCUGGUCUGUUACUGACGCUGAGGCUCGAAAGCAUGGGUAGCGAACAGGAUUAGAUACCCUGGUAGUCCAUGCCGUAAACGAUGAAUACUAGGUGUUGGAGGGUUUCCGCCCUUCAGUGCCGCAGCUAACGCAUUAAGUAUUCCGCCUGGGGAGUACGACCGCAAGGUUGAAACUCAAAGGAAUUGACGGGGGCCCGCACAAGUGGUGGAGCAUGUGGUUUAAUUCGAUGCUACGCGAAGAACCUUACCAGCUCUUGACAUCUUCUGCCAACCCAAGAGAUUGGGCGUUCCCUUCGGGGACAGAAUGACAGGUGGUGCAUGGUUGUCGUCAGCUCGUGUCGUGAGAUGUUGGGUUAAGUCCCGCAACGAGCGCAACCCUUAUUAUUAGUUGCCAGCAUUUAGUUGGACACUCUAGUGAGACUGCCGGUGAUAAACCGGAGGAAGGUGGGGACGACGUCAAAUCAUCAUGCCCCUUAUGAGCUGGGCUACACACGUGCUACAAUGGAUGGUACAACGAGUCGCGAAACCGCGAGGUCAAGCUAAUCUCUUAAAGCCAUUCUCAGUUCGGAUUGCAGGCUGCAACUCGCCUGCAUGAAGUUGGAAUCACUAGUAAUCGUGGAUCAGCAUGCCACGGUGAAUACGUUCCCGGGCCUUGUACUCACCGCC